rnacentral:rRNA from 1 species
UACGUAGGGGGCGAGCGUUGUCCGGAUUUAUUGGGCGUAAAGAGCUCGUAGGCGGCUUGUCGCGUCGUCCGUGAAAACCUGGGGCUCAACCCCGGACUUGCAGUGGGUACGGGCAGACUAGAGUGUGGUAGGGGAGACUGGAAUUCCUGGUGUAGCGGUGGAAUGCGCAGAUAUCAGGAGGAACACCGAUGGCGAAGGCAGGUCUCUGGGCCAUUACUGACGCUGAGAAGCGAAAGCAUGGGGAGCGAACAGG